AAGUCGUAACAAGGUUUCCGUAGGUGAACCUGCGGAAGGAUCAUUACAAAUCCAACGUCUCUCCCGAGACACUGUCGAAACAUAGCCCAAGGAGGGCGAGCGAGGCCGCGCGCGAGCGAGCCGGUGCGAGCAACGAACCCCUCUCCCCUCUUGGGGGGCGGGAGGCAGUUGCCCGCUCGGCAACCAAGCAAGCACCUCACUCUCUCUUUGACGGCGAACACUCACUAGAAACUGUUGAUCAUCUGUAUGCUUCUUAACAAAGAAACAACUUAUACCAAUGGAUCUCUAGGCUCUU
rnacentral:misc_RNA from 1 species